ACGUUGCGAUGAAGUGAGAGGUUGCUGACACACCCGGCCCCUUUGCCAUAGGGACGGAGUCAGGAGAUUUUCACGGAGUAUGUCCGAUACUAAAUUGGGCGAUAA
rfam:Paenibacillus mucilaginosus 3016, complete genome.